rnacentral:snoRNA from 15 species
CAUGCAGCCAGCAGCAAUGGCUUGUGGUUCGAUUGGCGACUGCUUGCUUAUAAUGUUUGGCCAGAACAUUCUUCUAUCUUAUCCGUAGCGUCACAAUGUGUAAUAUAAUCCGACAUUUGGCGUAUGACCUGAAGAGACAUCUUA